ensembl:lncRNA
AAAAAAAUUAAAGUUUUAAAUAUAAGUAUUUCCUCUGUAUAAUAAAUAAAUAGAAGAACUGUACUGUCUUCCAAAAAUGUGAAAAGAACAUCUGAUGUUAAAAUUUCAUUUUUUUCAGCAUCCAGUUUGCCUGCUCAUAAAAAGCUCUGUGAUUGCAUUUAUUGCCUAGUGACUCUAUUUACAACCCUUAAAAGUCUGCAAUUAGCAGGUCAAAUAGCAUUGUAGAUAGGUCCUUGCCAAGGUGGCAUGGAUUACUAGGAUGCGAUAUUCCUUUUUAAAAAGAGUAAGCCUUUAUCUAGCCAUGAAAACCAGUUCAUACUGCAGAGUAUAUAACAUUUAAAAAUUAAGAUGGGAAACAACAACUCUAUUUUAAACUCUCAAAUCCCAGAAAGUAAAAAUAUAUGAGCUACUAGGAGCCCUUUCAUAGUUAAGCAUUUAAACAUUUGGCUAUAAAGGUUUUAGAAUAUAUUUUGCAUUAGUAGGUAAACAUAAAAUUAAAUAAAUUAUUUUUGAUACUACCUGCCUGUGGUAUAUGUAAUUAGCUGGAUAUAUGGAAGAUCCUUACUCAAAAAUAUAAGACCAUCACAACCAGUAAGGCAAGACACUUAACAAACUGGGUGGAUAACAAGUUACUAUCAUAUUCGUGAACUACUUUCAAUUCUAUUNNNNNNNNNNNNNNNNNNNNNNNNNNNNNNAUUCUUUUUAUGAUACUACUGCAGGAACAGGUCCUAGCUACACAUGAGAGUGAUGAAAACUCUUAUUAAAAAUGCAGAUUCCUAGGUCCAAUCCCCAGGGAGCCUGGUAAGUGGGAGAUGAUGCCCAGGAUGUGUUUUUAACCGCCUGCCCCCUUCUGCCCUGUGAAAUCGAUAAUUCAGUGCAGCUGGUCUCUGUCCCCCUGUCUGGAUGCUGCAUCAAUCACAGGCUAUUAAAAAUAUUUAAAUCAUAUGUCUGUUUCCUUUUUCCACUUUUCUGCCUAAUUGCCCUUACAAAUUUUUCCCACUUGGCUUUUGAUUACCUAGAAGAAUGUAAUAUUAUCUCGAAACUUGGACGUAUUUCCUUGUACCCCUUCCCCUGAGCCUUUAAUAAGCGAUUAUUAUCAAAAGUGGAAAAAGCUCCACUCUCCCGAGGGCUUAUUUAUCCUAAUGAGUUUGUGUGAUUCUAGACAAUUUCUCUGUGCAGACAGAAGAAUGUUCCCUUCUAUCUAACAAUGAUUCAUUCUGGGUUAGAAUCUUCUCAGAUUUGUUCUCAAGCAUAACUAGAUUAUAUUCAAAACUUUUCCAACAAGCCUAUAUACUCUUUAAAUAAAAUCGAUAAAAAGAAAAAUCUUUUUAUCGAAAGUUAGUAGUACAUGAUAUUGUAUAAAUCACAGUGAAUUCAGGACCAAGCUUAACCCACUUCCCGUGAAAAGUUCCCUGAUCCCACCCCUUUUCCCCUAUGCCCCACCCACUCCUGAAUGGGACAUCUCCCUCAUUCACUCGGUGCCUCUGAUAGCAGCUGUCUGAUCUUACAGCCUGAUUUUCAUGCCUACCCCCAAUCUACCAACACCUGACUGUCUCAAAGAUACAGACAAU